rnacentral:lncRNA from 1 species
UUUUGAUAUAAAAAGUUCUGAAGACCCAAUAUGUUUGUUACAAACUGUAAUUAAAGAAGACUGUGUUUUUGAGACAUCAAGUUAUUCAAGCAAGAAUUUUCCAAAAAAUGUUGGUGAAAGUCUUGCUACUGAGAAUUCAAUUUAUUCAAUUGAAAAUCAUCCAAAAGAAAUGAAGGUUUGUCCAGUAUGUAAAUGGGAAGUGGAUGAUCUUCCCUGUCAUGUG